rnacentral:rRNA from 1 species
CCUACGUGGGACAGCAGUGAGGAAUAUUGGUCAAUGGACGAGAGUCUGAACCAGCCAAGUAGCGUGAAGGAUGACUGCCCUAUGGGUUGUAAACUUCUUUUAUCUGGGAAUAAAACGUUCCACGUGUGGGAUUUUGUAAGUACCCUAAGAAAAAGGAUCGGCUAACUCCGUGCCAGCAGCCGCGGUAAUACGGAGGAUACGAGCGUUAUCCGGAUUUAUUGGGUUUAAAGGGUUCGUAGGUGGAUGGUUAAGUCAGUUGUGAAAAUUUGCGGCUCAACCGUAAAAUUGCCGUUGAAACUGGCAGUCUUGAGUGCAGUAGAGGUGUGCGGAAUGCGUGGUGUAGCGGUGAAAUGCUUAGAUAUCACGAAGAACUCCGAUUGCGAAGGCAGUUCACUGGACUGCAACUGACACUGAGGCUCGAAAGUGUGGGUAUCGAACAGGAUUAGAUACCCGAGUAGUC